rnacentral:rRNA from 1 species
UCAUUAGAUACCCCGGUAGUCCACGCCGUAAACGAUGAAUACCAGGUGUCGGGCGCCACGGGCGCCCGGUGCCGCAGCAAACGCAGUAAGUAUUCCACCUGGGGAGUACGUUCGCAAGAAUGAAACUCAAAGGAAUUGACGGGGACCCGCACAAUCGGAAAUGCCCGAAGCCGAUAGUCUAACGAAAGAGGACGUCGUCGAAGGUGGGAUUGAUGACUGGGGUGAAGUCGUAACAAGGUAUC